AACGAACGCUGGCGGCAGGCCUAACACAUGCAAGUCGAGCGCCCUUUCGGGGGAGCGGCGGCCGGGUGAGUAACGCGUGGGAAUAUGCCCUUCUCUACGGAAUAGCCUCGGGAAACUGAGAGUAAUACCGUAUACGCCCUUUGGGGGAAAGAUUUAUCGGGGAAGGAUUAGACCGUGUUGGAUUAGGUAGUGGGUGGGGUAAUGGCUUAGCAAGCCGACGAUUCAUAGCUGGUUUGAGAGGAUGAGCAGCCACACUGGGACUGAGACACGGCCCCGACUCCUACACACAUGCCCAAUCCAUAAUCUUAUACCAUCAAGGCAACCCUGAUCGACCCAUGCCGCGUGAGUGAUGAAGGCCUUAGGGUUAUAAAACUCUUUCAUCUCUGACUAUAAUAACUUUCCCCCCAUAAUAAUCCCCGGCUAACUCCUUG
rnacentral:rRNA from 1 species